rnacentral:rRNA from 2 species
UUAAGCGACUAAGCGUACACGGUGGAUGCCCUGGCAGUCAGAGGCGAUGAAGGACGUGCUAAUCUGCGAUAAGCGUCGGUGAGGUGAUAUGAACCGUUAUAACCGGCGAUUUCCGAAUGGGGAAACCCAGUGUGUUUCGACACACUAUCAUUAACUGAAUCCAUAGGUUAAUGAGGCGAACCGGGGGAACUGAAACAUCUAAGUACCCCGAGGAAAAGAAAUCAACCGAGAUUCCCCCAGUAGCGGCGAGCGAACGGGGAGGAGCCCAGAGCCUGAAUCAGUGUGUGUGUUAGUGGAAGCGUCUGGAAAGGCGUGCGAUACAGGGUGACAGCCCCGUACACAAAAAUGCACAUACUGUGAGCUCGAUGAGUAGGGCGGGACACGUGGUAUCCUGUCUGAAUAUGGGGGGACCAUCCUCCAAGGCUAAAUACUCCUGACUGACCGAUAGUGAACCAGUACCGUGAGGGAAAGGCGAAAAGAACCCCGGCGAGGGGAGUGAAAAAGAACCUGAAACCGUGUACGUACAAGCAGUGGGAGCCUCUUAAUGGGGUGACUGCGUACCUUUUGUAUAAUGGGUCAGCGACUUAUAUUCUGUAGCAAGGUUAACCGAAUAGGGGAGCCGAAGGGAAACCGAGUCUUAACUGGGCGUUAAGUUGCAGGGUAUAGACCCGAAACCCGGUGAUCUAGCCAUGGGCAGGUUGAAGGUUGGGUAACACUAACUGGAGGACCGAACCGACUAAUGUUGAAAAAUUAGCGGAUGACUUGUGGCUGGGGGUGAAAGGCCAAUCAAACCGGGAGAUAGCUGGUUCUCCCCGAAAGCUAUUUAGGUAGCGCCUCGUGAAUUCAUCUCCGGGGGUAGAGCACUGUUUCGGCAAGGGGGUCAUCCCGACUUACCAACCCGAUGCAAACUGCGAAUACCGGAGAAUGUUAUCACGGGAGACACACGGCGGGUGCUAACGUCCGUCGUGAAGAGGGAAACAACCCAGACCGCCAGCUAAGGUCCCAAAGUCAUGGUUAAGUGGGAAACGAUGUGGGAAGGCCCAGACAGCCAGGAUGUUGGCUUAGAAGCAGCCAUCAUUUAAAGAAAGCGUAAUAGCUCACUGGUCGAGUCGGCCUGCGCGGAAGAUGUAACGGGGCUAAACCAUGCACCGAAGCUGCGGCAGCGACACUAUGUGUUGUUGGGUAGGGGAGCGUUCUGUAAGCCUGUGAAGGUGUGCUGUGAGGCAUGCUGGAGGUAUCAGAAGUGCGAAUGCUGACAUAAGUAACGAUAAAGCGGGUGAAAAGCCCGCUCGCCGGAAGACCAAGGGUUCCUGUCCAACGUUAAUCGGGGCAGGGUGAGUCGACCCCUAAGGCGAGGCCGAAAGGCGUAGUCGAUGGGAAACAGGUUAAUAUUCCUGUACUUGGUGUUACUGCGAAGGGGGGACGGAGAAGGCUAUGUUGGCCGGGCGACGGUUGUCCCGGUUUAAGCGUGUAGGCUGGUUUUCCAGGCAAAUCCGGAAAACCAAGGCUGAGGCGUGAUGACGAGGCACUACGGUGCUGAAGCGACAAAUGCCCUGCUUCCAGGAAAAGCCUCUAAGCAUCAGGUAACAUCAAAUCGUACCCCAAACCGACACAGGUGGUCAGGUAGAGAAUACCAAGGCGCUUGAGAGAACUCGGGUGAAGGAACUAGGCAAAAUGGUGCCGUAACUUCGGGAGAAGGCACGCUGAUAUGUAGGUGAAGCGACUUGCUCGUGGAGCUGAAAUCAGUCGAAGAUACCAGCUGGCUGCAACUGUUUAUUAAAAACACAGCACUGUGCAAACACGAAAGUGGACGUAUACGGUGUGACGCCUGCCCGGUGCCGGAAGGUUAAUUGAUGGGGUUAGCGGUAACGCGAAGCUCUUGAUCGAAGCCCCGGUAAACGGCGGCCGUAACUAUAACGGUCCUAAGGUAGCGAAAUUCCUUGUCGGGUAAGUUCCGACCUGCACGAAUGGCGUAAUGAUGGCCAGGCUGUCUCCACCCGAGACUCAGUGAAAUUGAACUCGCUGUGAAGAUGCAGUGUACCCGCGGCAAGACGGAAAGACCCCGUGAACCUUUACUAUAGCUUGACACUGAACAUUGAGCCUUGAUGUGUAGGAUAGGUGGGAGGCUUUGAAGUGUGGACGCCAGUCUGCAUGGAGCCGACCUUGAAAUACCACCCUUUAAUGUUUGAUGUUCUAACGUUGGCCCGUAAUCCGGGUUGCGGACAGUGUCUGGUGGGUAGUUUGACUGGGGCGGUCUCCUCCUAAAGAGUAACGGAGGAGCACGAAGGUUGGCUAAUCCUGGUCGGACAUCAGGAGGUUAGUGCAAUGGCAUAAGCCAGCUUGACUGCGAGCGUGACGGCGCGAGCAGGUGCGAAAGCAGGUCAUAGUGAUCCGGUGGUUCUGAAUGGAAGGGCCAUCGCUCAACGGAUAAAAGGUACUCCGGGGAUAACAGGCUGAUACCGCCCAAGAGUUCAUAUCGACGGCGGUGUUUGGCACCUCGAUGUCGGCUCAUCACAUCCUGGGGCUGAAGUAGGUCCCAAGGGUAUGGCUGUUCGCCAUUUAAAGUGGUACGCGAGCUGGGUUUAGAACGUCGUGAGACAGUUCGGUCCCUAUCUGCCGUGGGCGCUGGAGAACUGAGGGGGGCUGCUCCUAGUACGAGAGGACCGGAGUGGACGCAUCACUGGUGUUCGGGUUGUCAUGCCAAUGGCACUGCCCGGUAGCUAAAUGCGGAAGAGAUAAGUGCUGAAAGCAUCUAAGCACGAAACUUGCCCCGAGAUGAGUUCUCCCUGAGACUUAGAGUCUCCUGAAGGAACGUUGAAGACGACGACGUUGAUAGGCCGGGUGUGUAAGCGCAGCGAUGCGUUGAGCUAACCGGUACUAAUGAACCGUGAGGCUUAACCUU